rnacentral:ribozyme from 1 species
UUUUUUUUUUUUUUUUUUUUUUUUUUUUUGGCCGAAUCAGUUGAAACAACACAGGGAGA